AUUGAACGCUGGCGGCAGGCCUAACACAUGCAAGUCGAGCGGAGCGGCGGACGGGUGAGUAAUGCCUAGGAAUCUGCCUGGUAGUGGGGGAUAACGUCCGGAAACGGGCGCUAAUACCGCAUACUAUCAGAUGAGCCUAGGGCGGAUUAGCUAGUUGGUGGGGUAAAGGCCUACCAAGGCGACGAUCCGUAACUGGUCUGAGAGGAUGAUCAGUCACACUGGAACUGGUGCACGGGCCCGACUCCUACGGGAGGGAGGAGGGGGGAAUAUUGGGCAAAGGGCGAAAGCCUGAUGCAGCCAUGCCGCGUGUGUGAAGAAGGUCUUCGGAUUGUAAAGUACUUUCAGCGGGGAGGCGUUACCCGCAGAAGAAGCACCGGCUAACUCCGUGCCAGCAGCCGCGGUAAUUC
rnacentral:rRNA from 1 species